CACGUGACGCUCAUGACGUCACGCUAACAAAGUGUCGGAAGAAGCUCGACGUCAACAAGAUUCUCCCCCAAAAAAGACGACUUUUUUCGCUGCGUGGCUGUAACUUUUCCGCCACAGUUCAGCGGCUCACAUUCUGUGGUCACCGAAUCAGUCUGCAUCCUAAUGACAGCAGACCUUGUACAGCUGCUAGGACAAGGACAAGCUGAGCAGUUGUACAGGAGUACAUGAGGAAGUCCGCGGGCGUGCAGGUAGGAAACAUGCCAGUCAAUGUUUUGUCUCAUGUAUCGUCAGUGUGGUUGUGUAAGUGCACUCCAAGUGUGCACCGGAACCGUCACGUCGCUCCAAAGAUGAAACUCUCAAUCAAAGCCCCACUGGCCCAGCCCCUCUUAUUACAAACUAAUGAGGAGGGGUGGAAUCAGACACCAGAACCAUGAGACCAACUGACCCCGUCCAGAACUCGUCACCCCUAAACUGUGUGUGUGUGUGUGUCUUGCAAUCCUUUUAGGAUUAUGUCUCCCCCCGAGCCCCCCAGUCCCGUCCUUGUCUCUUUCAGUGUUGUCCCUCAGGCGAUCACGUUUAAACCUGCGUCCAUUCACAAACGUUCAACAAAGCGUUGCCGUGGUAACCGUGUGAACGCUGCUGGCACGGCUCAGGAAUGCCCCAGGAGGUACACGUCGAAAUAUCGAAAAGCACCAAGCUUUGCUUCACUUGAUGGACUUGUGCACGCGCAUGUCUUUUUGAGACGCCUGGACAUGUGACUUCAUCGUGGGACGUACGUCAGCCAUCAUGGAGGACACGGUGCUCUGGAGAAGGACAGCCGUCCCCUCAUGCUUCAGUCAUAA